GGGCGUCGAGCGGCGGACGGGUGAGUAAUGCCUGGGAAAUUGCCCUGAUGUGGGGGAUAACCAUUGGAAACGAUGGCUAAUACCGCAUAAUAGCUUCGGCUCAAAGAGGGGGACCUUCGGGCCUCUCGCGUCAGGAUAUGCCCAGGUGGGAUUAGCUAGUUGGUGAGGUAAGGGCUCACCAAGGCAACGAUCCCUAGCUGGUCUGAGAGGAUGAUCAGCCACACUGGAACUGAGACACGGUCCAGACUCCUACGGGAGGCAGCAGUGGGGAAUAUUGCACAAUGGGCGCAAGCCUGAUGCAGCCAUGCCGCGUGUAUGAAGAAGGCCUUCGGGUUGUAAAGUACUUUCAGUCGUGAGGAAGGUUCAUACGUUAAUAGCGUAUGGAUUUGACGUUAGCUGCAGAAGAAGCACCGGCUAACUCCGUGCCAGCAGCCGCGGUAAUACGGAGGGUGCGAGCGUUAAUCGGAAUUACUGGGCGUAAAGCGCAUGCAGGUGGUUUGUUAAGUCAGAUGUGAAAGCCCGGGGCUCAACCUCGGAAUUGCAUUUGAAACUGGCAGACUAGAGUACUGUAGAGGGGGGUAGAAUUUCAGGUGUAGCGGUGAAAUGCGUAGAGAUCUGAAGGAAUACCGGUGGCGAAGGCGGCCCCCUGGACAGAUACUGACACUCAGAUGCGAAAGCGUGGGGAGCAAACAGGAUUAGAUACCCUGGUAGUCCACGCCGUAAACGAUGUCUACUUGGAGGUUGUGGCCUUGAGCCGUGGCUUUCGGAGCUAACGCGUUAAGUAGACCGCCUGGGGAGUACGGUCGCAAGAUUAAAACUCAAAUGAAUUGACGGGGGCCCGCACAAGCGGUGGAGCAUGUGGUUUAAUUCGAUGCAACGCGAAGAACCUUACCUACUCUUGACAUCCAGAGAACUUUCCAGAGAUGGAUUGGUGCCUUCGGGAACUCUGAGACAGGUGCUGCAUGGCUGUCGUCAGCUCGUGUUGUGAAAUGUUGGGUUAAGUCCCGCAACGAGCGCAACCCUUAUCCUUGUUUGCCAGCGAGUAAUGUCGGGAACUCCAGGGAGACUGCCGGUGAUAAACCGGAGGAAGGUGGGGA
rnacentral:rRNA from 1 species